rnacentral:rRNA from 1 species
ACGGAAGGCAGCAGUGGGGAAUAUUGCACAAUGGGCGAAAGCCUGAUGCAGCGACGCCGCGUGAGUGAAGAAGUAUCUCGGUAUGUAAAGCUCUAUCAGCAGGGAAGAAAAUGACGGUACCUGACUAAGAAGCCCCGGCUAACUACGUGCCAGCAGCCGCGGUAAUACGUAGGGGGCAAGCGUUAUCCGGAUUUACUGGGUGUAAAGGGAGCGUAGACGGUUUGGCAAGUCUGAAGUGAAAUGCGGGGGCUCAACUCCUGAACUGCUUUGGAAACUGUCGAACUAGAGUGCAGGUGAGGUAAGUGGAAUUCCUAGUGUAGCGGUGAAAUGCGUAGAUAUUAGGAGGAACACCAGUGGCGAAGGCGGCUUACUGGACUGUAACUGACGUUGAGGCUCGAAAGCGUGGGGAGCAAACAGGAUUAGAUACCCUGGUA